rnacentral:rRNA from 1 species
GACGAACGCUGGCGGCGUGCUUAACACAUGCAAGUCGAACGGAAAGGCCCUGCUUUUGUGGGGUGCUCGAGUGGCGAACGGGGGAGUAACACGUGAGUAACCUGCCCUUGACUUUGGGAUAACUUCAGGAAACUGGGGCUAAUACCGGAUAGGAGCUCCUGCUGCAUGGGGGGGGUUGGAAAGUUUCGGCGGUUGGGGAUGGACUCGCGGCUUAUCAGCGUGUUGGUGGGGUAGUGGCUUACCAAGGCUUUGACGGGUAGCCGGCCUGAGAGGGUGACCGGCCACAUUGGGACUGAGAUACGGCCCAGACUCCUACGGGAGGCAGCAGUGGGGAAUAUUGCACGAUGGGCGGAAGCCUGAUGCAGCAACGCCGCGUGCGGGAUGACGGCCUUCGGGUUGUAACCCGCUUUCGCCUGUGACGAAGCGUGAGUGACGGUAAUGGGUAAAGAAGCACCGGCUAACUACGUG